rnacentral:lncRNA from 1 species
NNNNNNNNNNCCGUAAGCCUCUUUAAGGAGUUUGGACUUCCAGGAAGUACACAUUCUCUGUUUUAGAACACUCUGGCAGAAGUAUGAUGAUUGGACUGUUACAUACAUUGGUGGGAGGAAGACAAUACAGGCUGGACACGGAAGAUAAAGCACUGGGCAUGAAGAGAAGUGAGUAGGUUCACCGAGCUAUCUGGAAUAACAGAAUAGGAUGAUGGGUUGGGUGUGAAGUGGGCGGGUUGAGAAUGACUCCUAGACCCCUCCUUGCCUUGAGCCACUAGGUAGAUGUACGUGCAUCUCACUGAGAGAGGGGAGGACAUACCAGACCUGGAAUAUUAAAAAAUUAAACAAAUGAUUUUUUAAAAAUUGUAAAAUACAUAGAACAUAAAAUGUGCCAUCUUAAUCUAACUGUAAAGUAUAGUAGUAAGUACUGGUGUAAGUACAUUCACAUUGUUGUACAACCAAUCUGCAAACCUGUUUUCAUCUUGCAAAACUAAAACCCUAUUCCCAUGAAAUGACCCCUCAUUCCUUCCUCCUCCAACCCCUGUCAAUAACCAUUCUACUUUCUCUAUGAAUUUGACAACUCAAGGCAGGUAUCUCAUAUACAUGGCAUUAAACAAUAUUUGUCUUUUGGGGACUGGUUUAUUACAUGUAGCAUAAUGUUCUUAAGGUUCCUCUGUGUUGUAGCAUGGGUUAGAAGUUCCUUCCUUUUUGAGGCUGAAUAUUCUUCCACUGUAUGUAUAUACCAUGUUUUGUCUAUUCAUUAAGGACACUUCGCUUGCUUUGACUUUUAGGCUAUUGUGACUAAUACGGCUAUGAACAUGGGUUUACAAGUAUCUUACAAGAUGCUUUCAAUCCUCAGAAGUGAAAUUUAUGGAUCACAUGCAACAGUUUAUGGCAAAAUAGUAACAUUUACUAUACUCAAGGAAAGAAUUGUGUAAGCCAAGAGUUUUAUAUUCUGCCAAAUGAACUGUCAAGCAUGAAUGCUGUAGAUACUCUUAUGAAUGAGUAAGAACUCAGCAGUUAUUGUUUCCAACAUCGUUCCUGAGAAAUCUCAGACAACUGAAGGGAUUGGGGAGUACAGACUCCGUAUUGGUCUGUGAGUAUCCAAUAUACAUUUACUAUAUAACUGAGACUAAGUGAUGACAUUAAGGGAAACAAUAUCAUAGGACAGUGAUGCUCUGAUAAUGUUGAUAUGGCACAAACGCUAGAAAAUGGUGGGAGAGGAACAGGGUACAUAUAUAAAGUAUAGUGUCAUCUUGCUAAAAGACUUGUUGGUUUUAAGGUGAAGUAAAAUGAUAUUUCAAAUUUAA